UACGUAGGUGGCUAGCGUUGUCCGGAUUUACUGGGCGUAAAGAGCGCGCAGGCGGUCGUUCAAGUCGAGUGUGAAAGCCCCCGGCUCAACUGGGGAGGGUCACUCGAUACUGAUCGACUCGAAGGCAGGAGAGGGAAGCGGAAUUCCCGGUGUAGUGGUGAAAUGCGUAGAUAUCGGGAGGAACACCAGUGGCGAAGGCGGCUUUCUGGCCUGUCU
rnacentral:rRNA from 1 species